rnacentral:misc_RNA from 1 species
GAUAUUUGCUUUUGGAUAAUGCUGCUAUUAUUUGGAAUGUUGUAUCUCAAACUUAUUCCUAAAUGGGCAAUAAAGCACAGUUCUAUGAGAUACAGAACAAGGUUCAUAACAUGAAACAAAGUGAGAUGAUCAUUGCUCAAUACUUUGCUAAAUUAAGUGGUUUGUGGUAGGAACUAGACUAUUAUUAAGGCUUUCAAGCCACUUGCAUUGCU